rnacentral:rRNA from 1 species
CAAUAGCGUAUAUUAAAGUUGUUGCAGUUAAAAGACUCGUAGUUGGAGUUCAGAGUGAGCUCAGCCGGUCCGCCUCAUGGGUGAGUACUGGUCGACUCUCUCUUGUUUGUGAAUCCCGCCCGGAGUUAAUUCUUCGGGAUGUGGAGUUCACAUCGUUUACCUUGAAAAAUUAGAAGUGUUCAAAGCAGGCGUUUGCUUGAAUAUAUUAGCAUGGAAUAAUGGAAUAGGACCCUGGUUCUAUUUUGUUUGGUUUUGAGUAACCAGAGUAAUGAUUAAUAAGGGAUAGUUGGGGGCGAUUCAGUAUUUCAUUGUCAGAGGUGAAAUUACUUGGAUUUAUGUAAAGAAUGAACUUCUGCGAAAGCA